GUUGUAUAGUCAAGUAAUUAAGUGCAUGUGGUGGAUGCCUUGGCAGUCAGAGGCGAUGAAAGACGUGAUAGCCUGCGAAAAGCUCCGGGGAGGCGGCAAAUAUCCUUUGAUCCGGAGAUGUCUGAAUGGGGGAACCCACCUACUUUAAGGUAGGUAUUGCAACAUGAAUACAUAGUGUUGCAAGGCGAACGAGGGGAAGUGAAACAUCUCAGUACCCUUAGGAAAAGAAAUCAAUUGAGAUUCCCUCAGUAGCGGCGAGCGAACGGGGAUCAGCCCAUUAAGUUAUGUGUGUUUUAGUGGAACGCUCUGGGAAGUGCGAACGUAGAGGGUGAUAUUCCCGUACACGAAAGGGCACACAUAAUGAUGACGAGUAGGGCGAGGCACGUGAAACCUUGUCUGAAUAUGGGGGGACCAUCCUCCAAGGCUAAAUACUCCUGACUGACCGAUAGUGAACCAGUACCGUGAGGGAAAGGCGAAAAGAACCCCUGUGAGGGGAGUGAAAUAGAUCCUGAAACCGCAUGCAUACAAGCAGUGGGAGCACCUUCGUGGUGUGACUGCGUACCUUUUGUAUAAUGGGUCAGCGACUUAUAUUCAGUAGCGAGGUUAACCGUAUAGGGGAGCCGUAGAGAAAUCGAGUCUUAAUAGGGCGUUUAGUUGCUGGGUAUAGACCCGAAACCAGGCGAUCUAUCCAUGAGCAGGUUGAAGGUUGGGUAACACUAACUGGAGGACCGAACCCACUGUCGUUGAAAAGCCAGGGGAUGACUUGUGGAUAGGGGUGAAAGGCUAAUCAAGCCUGGUGAUAGCUGGUUCUCCCGAAAGCUAUUUAGGUAGCGCCUCGGACGAAUACCAUAGGGGGUAGAGCACUGUUUCGGCUAGGGGGUCAUCCCGACUUACCAAACCGAUGCAAACUCCGAAUACCUAUGAGUACUAUCCGGGAGACAGACUGCGGGUGCUAACGUCCGUAGUCAAGAGGAAAACAAUCCAGACCGCCAGCUAAGGCCCCAAAAUCAUAGUUAAGUGGGAAACGAUGUGGGAAGGCAUAGACAGCUAGGAGGUUGGCUUAGAAGCAGCCACCCUUUAAAGAAAGCGUAAUAGCUCACUAGUCGAGUCGGCCUGCGCGGAAGAUGUAACGGGGCUAAAACUAUGUGCCGAAGCUGCGGAUGUAUACUUUGUAUACGUGGUAGGGGAGCGUUCUGUAAGCCGAUGAAGGUGUGUUGAGAAGCAUGCUGGAGGUAUCAGAAGUGCGAAUGCUGACGUGAGUAACGACAAAACGGGUGAAAAACCCGUUCGCCGAAAGACCAAGGGUUCCAGUCCAACGUUAAUCGGGGCUGGGUGAGUCGACCCCUAAGGCGAGGCCGAAAGGCGUAGUCGAUGGGAAAAUGGUUAAUAUUCCAUUACUUCUGUGUAAUGCGAUGAGAGGACGGAGAAGGCUAAAUCAGCCUGGCGUUGGUUGUCCAGGUGAAAGGAUGUAGGCAUGUAUCUUAGGCAAAUCCGGGGUACUCUAUGCUGAGAUCUGAUAGCAAGCUGUACUUGUACAGCGAAGUGGUUGAUGCCAUGCUUCCAGGAAAAGUCUCUAAGCUUCAGUUACACAGGAAUCGUACCCGAAACCGACACAGGUGGUCAGGUCGAGUAGACCAAGGCGCUUGAGAGAACUCUGCUGAAGGAACUAGGCAAAAUGGUACCGUAACUUCGGGAGAAGGUACGCUGUUGUUGGUGAUGGAACUCGCUUCCUGAGCUGACGACAGCCGCAGAAACCAGGCCGCUGCAACUGUUUAUUAAAAACAUAGCACUCUGCAAACACGAAAGUGGACGUAUAGGGUGUGAUGCCUGCCCGGUGCUGGAAGGUUAAUUGAUGGGGUUAGCGUAAGCGAAGCUCUUGAUCGAAGCCCCAGUAAACGGCGGCCGUAACUAUAACGGUCCUAAGGUAGCGAAAUUCCUUGUCGGGUAAGUUCCGACCUGCACGAAUGGCAUAAUGAUGGCGGCGCUGUCUCCAGCAGAGGCUCAGUGAAAUCGAAAUCGCUGUGAAGAUGCAGUGUACCCGCGGCUAGACGGAAAGACCCGUGAACCUUUACUGCAGCUUGACACUGAACUUUGACCUUACUUGUGUAGGAUAGGUGGGAGGCUUUGAAGCUGGAACGCUAGUUCCAGUGGAGCCGUCCUUGAAAUACCACCCUGGUAAUGUUGAGGUUCUAACUCUGUCCCGUGAUCCGGGACGAGGACCGUGUCUGGUGGGUAGUUUGACUGGGGCGGUCUCCUCCUAAAGAGUAACGGAGGAGUACGAAGGUGCGCUCAGCGUGGUCGGAAAUCACGCGUAGAGUAUAAAGGCAAAAGCGCGCUUAACUGCGAGACCCACAAGUCGAGCAGGUACGAAAGUAGGUCUUAGUGAUCCGGUGGUUCUGUAUGGAAGGGCCAUCGCUCAACGGAUAAAAGGUACUCUGGGGAUAACAGGCUGAUACCGCCCAAGAGUUCAUAUCGACGGCGGUGUUUGGCACCUCGAUGUCGGCUCAUCUCAUCCUGGGGCUGAAGCAGGUCCAAGGGUAUGGCUGUUCGCCAUUUAAAGAGGUACGCGAGCUGGGUUUAGAACGUCGUGAGACAGUUCGGUCCCUAUCUACCGUGGGCGCUGGAAAUUUGAGAGGAUCUGCUCCUAGUACGAGAGGACCAGAGUGGACGAACCUCUGGUGUACCGGUUGUGACGCCAGUCGCAUCGCCGGGUAGCUAUGUUCGGAAGGGAUAACCGCUGAAAGCAUCUAAGCGGGAAGCCUACCUCAAGAUAAGAUUUCCCUAGGACUUUAUGUCCUCUAAAGAGCCGUUCGAGACUAGGACGUUGAUAGGUUGGAUGUGGAAGCAUAGUGAUAUGUGAAGCUGACCAAUACUAAUUGCUCGUGAGGCUUGACUAUACAACACCCAAGCAGUUG
rnacentral:rRNA from 1 species